AUAACCAUGGUGAAACACCAGUUCAUGCCCGAUCAACAAAGUUAAGCAACAUUGAGCCUAGUCAGUACUUAGUUGGAUGACUGCUUAGGAAUACCAGGUGCUGAAA